rnacentral:lncRNA from 1 species
CCCGUAUAAUUAAAACUUAAACAAAUAAGUAGAUAAAAAAUAAUAAAUACGAAAAUAUUAAGGAUAAUAAUAAUAAUAAUAAUAACAUCAAACAUAUUAAUAUUAAAUGAAAUAACGAAGAAAGAUAAAAUAUGAAAGACUAAGUUGAAUUUUAAAAUAAGAUUAGAGGGGCUUAAAUUGAAAAUACUUAAAGCAUGGUUGUAAGAGACUGAAGUAAAACGUGCUCAAAGCAAGAGGGACUCGUGGGAAAUAUUCCCCAGUCCCAAUGCGCUGCGUUUUAAUCAAAAGGCAGCAUAUGGUCAAAGGACCAAAUCGAAACAGGAGCAAAAAUUCGCAGGUCGAAUGAAAAAGACCAAAAAGGAUCAAAUCGCGCUACAUUGAAAACGCGGAGGGACCAAGGGUGCAAAUAGCCCAUUACAAAAAAGCAGAUCUUCCUACCGGAGCGGGUCGGAUCUCGGGUUAGACGCAAAAUGGCAUCGUUUUGAGGCCGAAUGAAACAGGCCAAAACGGCGCCGUUUCAUUUGGGUAUUUAAACCAAAUUUUUUUAAAAAAAAUUCAUUCAGCCCCUAUUCUUUAAAAAAAAAUUCAAAACUCUUCCCCCACUUUCUCUUCCCCAAAUUCGGCGAAGGCUUCCAGCCGUUGCCGCUGCCGUAGCGCCACUGUGGCCGACGACCGGCGUCGCACGAGGGCAUCUCCGAUCAGCGCGUUGAAGCGCGUUCAAAGACCAAAACCAUGGAGAGGGGAAACAAAGAGAGAAAAAAAACUUUGGGCCCCUCCCUAAACCCGCAACCGGCGACGGCGGAGGACCGAUAACGAUGACAGAUUCCAGGGCUAAUCCAGGUGUAUUUCUUUCUCCUUUUCUUUUCUUUUUAAUGGUUUCCUCUUUUUUUUUUUAAAAAAUAUCAGAUUUGUAAAGAAAAUAAAAAUAAAAAUAAAUAAAUAUGAUGAAUAGAUAGAUCAAAAAAGAAAAAGGCAUUAAUCUACUGUAUUAUUUUAUUUCUGAUCUUUUUUGUAUCCCCCUGUACAAAGAAAAAGCUUGUGGCUUUUAUAGCCAAAUUACAAACGCUUAGUCUCUAUUUCUUUUGUCGUUUUACUACUUGUUUCCUCUGUUUGUUGUUUUUUCUUUGUUUGUCCGCUUCUGCUUGUUGGCUUCUUGCAGGUGGUGUCAGAAGGCGUCAGACGCAUGAGGGAAGAGGUGGCAUGCGGUGGCAGCAAAGCUUAAGGUGGCUAGGGUUAGAUUUGGCUGAAGACUUGAGUUUAGGUUGUGGGCCACUUAGGCCACUAGGUUUUUUAUUAUUGGGCUGUUAAUUUUUUUAUAUUUUUGGUUUGUUUUGCUGGUAUGGGUUUUAUUUUUUGUAUUUGGUUUUAUUUGAGUUUUGUUGGGCCCCCGGUCAAAAUUUGGGUCUUACACACUCUUAAUGUUUUUUAGUAAUUUUAUAUUUUUUUAUAAUUUCAAAAACAAUAAUAUAAUUUUUUAAAAAAUAAACUCCUUAUUUUAUAAAAUUUUCUUCUUUAUAUUUUUUAUUUUUAUUGAAUUUUAGGAUAUUAUUAUUUUUUAUUUUAAGUGCACAAUGAAUCUAGGUAAAUGGUUGCCUAGAUACUAACAAAUCUAGACAACCAUAUGUUUAGAUUCAUUUUGAACAUAUAUUUUUCUAGUAAUUUCUAC